AUGCGCUCCUCCUGUUCACUGCUGAUAGUGAUAGUGCUGCUGCCCGCAUCGAGUGGCCAAGAUACCGUUUCGCAGGAUCCGCCAGAACUAGUGGUUCUGGAAGGACAGACCAUUAUACUGAACUGCACUUACUCCACAUCGCGUACAUUUCCCGAACUCUUCUGGUACAUCCAGCGUCCCGGGAAAGCUCUGAGAUAUUUAUUUAAGAUAUUCGGCAAGGAUGGGAAUGCUCGGUCUCCAGAUUCGUCUCCCCACUUCUCUGCCGAUUUAGACACGGAUAAGAAAUCAUUGUCCCUAAUGAUCUCCGGGGCUCUCGUCUCAGACGGGGCUGUGUAUCACUGUGCUUUGAGCCCCACACUGUGGCAGGUGCACAGCCUGUCCGUACAAAAUCCGGCGGAGACUCUCACCUCCUCUCACUGGAUCGAAUCCAGGGCCUUGCUGGUGACCAAGUCACACAGAAGAAACCAAACGCUACAUAUCACAUAA